rnacentral:misc_RNA from 1 species
ACAAGUAAUAUAAUGACCAAAAUAGAAACUGAAAUGAAUUUUCUUUCUAAAGUAAUAUUUAAUACAAAUAUUAUUCUCCAUGCUCCAUGCGAACAAAAGGAUUCCUUUUUCUUCAAAGCAUUUGACAUAAAUCCAUUAGCUUUUCCUUGGAAACGAUAUAUGCCAUUUACACUUGUACGGGCUACAUCUAAAACUCCAUCUUUUUGCAAUAAUUCAGUAAUCAUUUGAAACUUUUAAUUCUUAUGAUAAAUUAACUUCCAUAAAUGCCACUUAAAUCCAUUAAUGGAUUAACAUUUUUUUUUUCUGACCAAAAAAGCAUCAGUAAUGCAUAAGGAAUACAAUUGCCCCCCACAAAGAGUGGCAUCUGAGUUGCCGCCUGCUCAAGAUAGUUAUAUAAUUUCAAGACCAGCACGAUAAAUCUAUGGUACAAAUAAAAUAAUUACUAAUUAUGAACACCAAGAGGACUUCAACAAUAUUUAGCUUCCAGACAACACAGAACACGAGGAAAAGGGCAUUUAGAUACCUAAAUAAUGUCAUCCCAAACUUAAGUAUAAAAACUUUUACUAAGAGAUGCAAUAAUAGAUAUGAAUUUUAACAGAAAGGAAUUAUAAAGAAAGCAUGCUAGGGAACAAGUACCAUGUCAGAUAAUAAAGUAUAAAGAAAGUAUGCUAGAGUACAAGUACCCGGUCAGAUACAUGGACAUAUAACACUUUUAUAAAUAAGCAAGUUAAGCAAAGUGAAAAUAACAUGGCAACACUUUAGACAGCCACCAGAAAGUUACAAGUUUCUGCAACUGUUGAGAAACCUUUACUGUUUAAGGAAUUCAAAAGGAAGUCUACCAUGGUAAAAGUACGGUGACCAAUAAUCGCACACGACAUUUUCAAAUAUAUACAUAUAUGUGUGUGUGCGCGCAUUUGUGUGUGUGGCAGCACUUUUGACAGAGCUCAUGCCUGCCAUUGCAUGCCAAAUCACCAUAAAAUGGCACUUUUGACAAUUUUUGUUAGCUAAAAGAAUGGUAACAAUAAAAAAUUUACAAAAAAAUUGGUACUGAUAAUAAUAGAGAAAAAGUACAGCACUUAAACACUUAAAGCAUUACUUCACUAGUUUACCAUGAUCAAGCAAGAGCACAAUGACUGCUGAUGAAAAAAAGUCAAAAUCCACUAAUAGCAAUAAAAAUUCAAAUUUUUCAACAGAGCAUAGGAGCUCAUAUAAUCACUGCUUCAUAGACAGUGCUCUCAACACAAACAGAAUUUGUUUGCAGUCCCACCUCCUAGUUAGUAGGUGGUCCCAAUCAUUGUCACCCCUAAAAAGAAAAUGGAAACCAUCAAGUAGGAUGAACAAGACCACAACAACUAAGCUGUUUUCUCUCUCUACAAUCCAACAUUCAAUGAUCAAAAUUAACCAUGCAUGUAUUCUAUUUGAUAUAUCCCCUUCUUUACCUCAAAACAAUAUAACUACACAGUUUUAAUUUACUUUGUAAGAAGCAGCAGCUGGCAUGCUUGUUAAGAAACUAAAAAAGGAAUCCCAAAUAAAAUGGUAACCCCCUGUCCAUGUGCAUUUUGUUCAAACUGAAAUUUGCUGUUGAAAUACCAAUGAGUUUUAGCUAAGUGGUACUGUAGUUAUCUCUAGGGUUGUGUGAUCUCAAGUUUGAGUCCCAGUUGGAGCCAUUUGUACCCAAACAAAAAAAUUUCCAUUGAAAUAAUAACAAACAAAUUAACUCAAGCCAGUAUUUAAAUACCAAAGAACAUAGUCUAAGGUUUAUGUUGCAAUAUAAUUUGCCCAGUAAAAUGUCAUUUGAUGGACCAUCAUGUUAAGAUACAAAUUUUCAUGCCCACCAAUGAAAAACACUCAACUCCCCAUGAACUGAACAAUUUUCUAAUGAAAUAAAAUGAAAUUGGUUCCAAACACCCUAAAAAAUGUACAUCCAUUCCUAACAUUUGUUCGUCAUGGAUUAUGAUUAUAUUUGAUGAUGAACCCUUUGUCCAUAAUAUUAUAGAUUUAUGAGUGUUAUAUUUAUUUUGCAAUUUCUAUUGUUAAUUAUAAAUUACAAUUAGACAUUGUUCAAAUAAAUUUACACAAUAAAAAAUUAAAUAAGUAAACAAUCAAUGAAUAUAUUAAAAAUUAUAAUUUAACAAUAAUAAAAAAAAUCUCAUAGUCUUCAAGAUAUUAACAAGUCUUUUGCUAAUAGACGACAUUAAUCAUAUCAAUGAAGUUUAAGUAGCAACAAAGAACAUCAACUAAACUAAACUAAGCCUUUAUCCCAAGAACACACACUCUCUCUCUCUAAUGGAAAUAUAUACAGUGACCAGUGGUUGAAAUAUAUUCUAAUGGAACCAAGGUCUAGGACAACAUGCCUAACUAGGAAACCUGCCAAUGUCAUGGAUAUAGUCCAUUUGAUCUUGGUUUCAUUACUAAUUAUGCAAAUCAUCCCUUGAUGUGUGCGUGUGU